rnacentral:rRNA from 1 species
UAAAGCGUGCGCGGGCGGUUAUAUAAGACAGAUGUGAAAUCCCCGGGCUCAACCUGGGAACUGCAUUUGUGACUGUAUAGCUGGAGUGCGGCAGAGGGGGAUGGAAUUCCGCGUGUAGCAGUGAAAUGCGUAGAUAUGCGGAGGAACACCGAUGGCGAAGGCAAUCCCCUGGGCCUGCACUGACGCUCAUGCACGAAAGCGUGGGGAGCAAACAGGAUUAGAUACCCCGU